GAUUCUGAUUGGUCUGCAGUGAAAGACCCAGGAGGAAGCGGAGGAACAAGUCCAGGUGUCCAUUAGGACUCUGUAAGGCCUUGUCCACAGCACUCUGAUGGAGACAUAUUAGUG